GAUGAACGCUGGCGGCGCGCCUAAUACAUGCAAGUCGAGCGAGAAGACGUAGCAAUACGUUUGUAAAGCGGCGAACGGGUGAGGAAUACAUGGGUAACCCUACCCUCGAGUGGGGAAGUAACUAAGCCGAAAGGUUAAGCUAAUACCGCGUACGCUUCUUGGACUUCGGUUCAGGGAGGAAAGCGAUACCGUGGGUAUCGCGCUCUUGGAUGGGCUCAUGUCCUAUCAGCUUGUUGGUGAGGAACGGCUCACCAAGGCUUCGACGGGUAGCUGUCUGAGAGGAUGAUCAGCCACACUGGCACUGCGACACGGGCCAGACUCCUACGGGAGGCAGCAGUAAGGAAUAUUGCGCAAUGGGCGAAAGCCUGACGCAGCGACGCC
rnacentral:rRNA from 1 species